GCCCCCUUAGCUCAGCUUGGUUAGAGCAUUGGUCUUAUGAGCCGAAGGUCGCGGGUUCGACCCCCGCAGGGAGCA